rnacentral:tRNA from 1 species
AAAUUAUAGCUUAUUAGAAAGCUUUUUAUUUACAUUAAAAUGAAAAAUGUGCAAUUCAAUUUAAUUUGAA